rnacentral:lncRNA from 10 species
CUUCUUUGAACAUGUCUGGUAGAAUUCAGCUGUGAUCCAUCCAGUCCUGGGCUUCUUUUGGUUGACUAUGGAAAUGAUGUUAGACAAAAAGCAAAUUCAACUUCAAAGUGGGUCUUAAAACAGCCAAGACAACUUGCAACAUCAACAACGCAUUUGUUCCACUGAGAAUGAACGUACAGUGCAGUGGUGGUUCAAGAAGUUUUGCAAGGGAGACAAGAGCCUUGAAGACAAGCAGCAUAGUGGCUGGCCAUGAGAAGUUGACGAUGACCAACUGAGAACAAUCAUCAAAGCUGAUCCCCUUAAAACUACACAAGAAGUUGCCAAAGAACUCAUCAUUGGCCAUUUGAAGCAAAUUGGAAAGGUGAAAAAUCACAAUAAGUGGGUGCCUAAUGAGACUCAAAAUGAUGGUUUCCCGGUGAAACCAUUACAUCUGAGAAGUAUGCUCAGAAAAUCGAUGAGAUGCAUCAAAAAUUGCAAUGCCUGCAGCCAGCGUUGGUCAACAAAAAGGGCCUAAUUCUCCACAUCAAUGCCCGACCACAUGUCGUAUAACCAAUGUUUCAAAAGUUGAAUGAAUUGGGCUAUGAAGUUUUGCCUCAUCCACCACAUUCACCUGACCUCUUGCCAAUCAACUACCACUUCUUCAAGCAUCUUGACAACUUUUUGCAGGGAAAGCACUUCCAUGACUAGCAGGAUCCAGAAAAUGCUUUCCAGGAGUUCAUCGAAUCCCAAAGCAUAAACUUUUAUACUACAGGAAUAAACAAACUUAUUUCUCGUUGGCAAACAUGUGUUGAUUGCAGUGGUUCCUAUUUUGAUUAACAAAGAUAUGUUUGAGCCUAGUUAUAAUGAUUUAAAAUUCAUAGUCCAAAACUGCAAUUACUUCUGUGCCAACAUAAUAAUAGCCAAAGCCAGAUUUAAGCCUCUUUCCUGAAACCCAGCCAAGAACUAGCCUCAUCACUUUGUAUUUUCUAGCUAGUGUCUCGAGGCUUCACAUUCAGAUGAUCCAGUGUGUGAAGUGGCAGGGUGCCAUUUUAAGCGAGAAUCUUCUUAUUCUGCCAGUGCCAUAAAAUUGCCUAUGAGAAACUGGGGAAUGGAUACCCAACCUCAUCAACUAUGCAUUAAAGGAAUAAAGACAAUGAUGCAAGUUUAGAUGCCACCUCCACAAGUUUGCUCCUGAGGCUUUCCUAGGGUUACGCAAUUCUGGAUUGUGCCUACUUACCCACUGAAGAAAACCUUCAGGCAAGGAAGAAGAAAAAACUGGAUGCUUGGGGUGGGAAGCUGAGACCAUGCUGGAAACUGCCUUGAUGCAUAAACUAAGGUCAUUUGUUGAGGAAAAAGAGUUGUCUGACUUGUAGAAUUCCUC